UACGUAGGCUGCAAGCGUUGUUCGGAGUUACUGGGCGUAAAGGGUGCGUAGGCGGUUCUGUAAGUAUGGUGUGAAAUCUCCCGGCUUAACUGGGAGGGUGCGCUAUAGACUGUGGGGCUAGAGUGUGGGAGAGGAAAGUGGAAUUCCUGGUGUAGCGGUGAAAUGCGUAGAUAUCAGGAGGAACACCGGUGGUGUAAACGGCUUUCUGGACCAUAACUGACGCUGAGGCACGAAAGCGUGGGUAGCAAACAGG
rnacentral:rRNA from 1 species